AUCAAAAAAUGGACGCACCAGCCUUCACGGGAAGAACAGAGUGUUAACCAGGACUCUGGUGAUGAAAGUCAUCGGAUGCCAGAUGUCGUGCCUCAAAGGAGAACUGAGGCUCUUCACACAGAGAGUCAGCAUUGCCUAAAGAUUAAAUCUUGGGUUCUUGGAGAUAAUAUUGAGAAGCUGUCCUCAAAAUCAUUUGCAGUAUAUUGUAUUUCGGUGACAGAUACUAAAAACAAAACUCGGUUUGUUAUGAGAAGAUACAGUAAUUUCGAGCGAUUGCAUCGCCGAUUCGAAGAGAACCGGAACUACAAUUUACUAUUACCCCCCAAAGCAUAUAUUCUCAUCAAGCACCGAAGAUGCUUUUGUUCAUGGCCACUGUAUUCAGCUAGAGAAGUAUUUACAAGAUCUCUUGUCUAUAGAUAAUGUUGCCGUACAUAAUGAAGUUUGGGAUUUUCUAAGUGCGUCCUCAAAAAAUUAUUCUCUUGGAGAGUCUUCAUUGUGGAUGCGGCCCAAUGUCAUUGAGGUGAUUAUGAACCUAGCUGAUAAAGUGUUUCAGUUAAGUAGAGGAGGUUUAUUAAGGAAGAAAACUUUCACGGCAUGGAAGAAACUAAUACUACUUAUGAGAGAAGCUGUGGAUGACUGGUUUCUGAAGAAGAUCCAUAGGCUGCGGAAUGAAGACACAGUAGCUCAUGGAAUACGUUGGUUUCAAGAUAUUUUGUGGCCAAAUGGCGUAUUCUUUACCAGAGUGGAUGACAGUGAAGAGGCAUUGGAUCAGACUGAUCCAAAUGGCAGACCAACUUGGUGGCGAGAUGGUGGUUAAACCCAGUUCCUUUGAGCAGCAAUUGGAGGCUGGAGCUAGUAAAUUUAAGAAAUUCCUUCUCCAGGACGCCCCCAACAACUUUAGUGAAUUUUGCAAGGGAAAAUCUUUACAGGACAUGCCCAAGCGACAUCUUGUAUUUCACUCAGUCAAACGUAUGCAUAAAGCAACUAGUAUUUGCAAUACUGGAGCUGCUACUUCUAAAUGUUUUCCCCGAGCGGCAAGAUCUUUUUAGAGACACAAGGAAGAAUCCUACGCAUGGUCCAUCAGAGUAAUAACGAAGGUCGCCUAUGACUGGCUUGAACCAGUCGCCUAGCUUUCUCUAUGUUCUUUUUUGGGUUCUUUAUAGUACAGCUAUUAUUCCAUGUGUGUAAGAAAAACAAGUGCCAGUAUUUCAAUUUCUGUGAGUUUUUUUGGUAUACAACAAAGACAGAAGGGUUUAAGUAUAUAAAUAACUUGUGUGUGGAAAUUGCACAAAAAGAAGCUACACAUUUUCGCUGCAGAGAUUGCUAGGACCAGCCGCCAAGUUUUCUUGCAGUAAUCUCUGCCUCUCCGGUGAUUGUCGCUCCUCGACACCACUGGAGAGGGCUUCCGUUCUCUUUGUCUUUGUUUUGAUUUACCUCGUGUGUGUUUUCAUGGAGUUUUGAGUUUGGUUCGUAUCUAUGGUGUGGCUGUUAUGGAUCUGGCGUGUUAUUCAGUCGUUGAUGGCUGUCAAGGAUGUGGUGGUGUGUCAUCUUUUUCGCUUUGUACUAGCAUCGAUUGGGGGUCAUCCGUUCAGGUUUUCUCUUCGCUUUGACUCCUUCAUGUCUCAAUCUGCAGUUUCUUGUGAGUCUUCCUACGGUGUCACUUUGACGAAGCUAGUCUUCAUGGAUUUGCUCUAUCAAGGUUGUAUUUUUUCCUUUUUCAUUGUCUCGGCCUCUUGUUGCUUUCGUUUUUUGGGGAGAUUGUUUGGUGGUCGGUCUCUUUGAGUUGUUUUGCCUCCUCCAAAGUUUAGGUUGUCGGAUAAAGUGUUUCUAGUCAUGUUAUUGGAGACCGACGUUUCUGCGAAGAGUUCUUUUAGUAUCAUUGAUCUGAAUGGGUAGGGAUUCAUCACUUGGAGUUGGACUUUGGAUCAUGCUGCGCUCUUCUCAAGCUACUACUGUAGAUAAAAGCAGAGUUUCAGUUCUCAGGGUUCUAAUUCAUAGAUUUUCAUUCAUCCCUUAAGUUUAGAUUAAGGUUUUGGUCUUCAGCAUUCAUGAGAAAUCGAUUUGUAGGAGAAGGCGCUUCACGGCUUCUGGGUUUAAAGAGUGAUCAUUGAAUAUCAUCUGCCACUAUGUGGGAAGCUCUUCCCGAGUCUCUGGUUUUCCAAGCUUUCACUUGGUAUUCAAGAAUCUUGCGAUCGAUGAACAAUUUUGAUCUAUGUUAAGUGUUUUUGGUUUCCAGUGAGGUCAAUAUAAUCACUACUGGAAUUGCUACUAUCAGAGAUUGCUAUUAUCAAUCUUAUCUAGCAAGUGGUGGUACUCUGUGGCUUUCGUCAUCUCUCAGGUCACAAGCUAUGAGAAAUUCUCAGGCUUAAUAUACAUCUCCCAUGCAGGCUCAUGGUGUAAGGAGGUUAGGGCAGACCCUUCUUUUUAUCCUCAUGAUUUUUCUUUUAUCAUAAGGCAUCUACUGAUGUUUUUAUCGUUAUGUACUCUACUCUGUUUUGAACUUGUUUGUUUUUCCAUCACAAGUCGGUUGACUUGAACACUUUAAUAAAA